CGUGUGCAAGUCACAAACAUGGUUAGUGGAGUGACAGUGUUGGUGUAGUGAAGCGUGAUACAACACUGGCUGCCGGGGAGAGGUGAUGAUGGAUUGUGUUGUUGUGGAGGGAAGGGGUAGUAAUGAAUGAGUGAAGCAGUGGAUAGAGUGGUCACAAGGAUCACUGGCACAGGUAGUUUUAGGCGCGCAAGGUGAGCACCCCAUCUCAGGAGAGAAGUGGCGUUUCAUAGGGCGCAGUGCUAUGGCCCACAGGGAUUAUUACCGUUUACACGAAAUGUGUUAUGUGAUUUCCAUUCAUGUUUUCGAAGUGUGCGAUAGAGCGAUACAAUAGUGUGUAUGACGAAGUCGGGGUGGGGUUUUGUUUAUACCGGAAAAGAGAAUACAGUAGUGUAGUAGUGUUGAAAUAUAUAUUGAUGACUGAAAGCGGAAAAUAUGAAAGAUAGAAAUUGUGAAAUAUCGGUGAGAGAAAUUCUAAAAGAAACUUUGUGAGAAACCGGUGAGGAUUGUGAACUUAACCAACUAAAUAAAGAGUGAGAUUGAACACUGGACACUUGAAACUGUCUUGCAGUCUGAAGGUUAAGUCUUAAUCAUAGUGAGAUGAAUGAUGACUUUAAUGCGCAGAACACACCCAAUUAAAGAUGCCUGGAGAACCGGAGAACCUUGUAAACCUCUAGUGUCAGCUGCUGCACUAGUAACGACGCCCAGGAAGUGGUGUUAGUAAAGUGGUGAUAUGCAAGACUGAGUGAGUGAGAACUGUUGCUGCAGAAAAUUAGUGGAUCAGGUGUGGCAAUGAACACAGAGAAGUGGCCAUGUAGGGCAAAUUUUAUGGCAACUAGUGUAUGAAGAUAAACUUUAUGACAACUUCAGGUUGACAAAAAAAAAAUGACAUCUGCAGUAUAAGAGGACUGCUGUGUAAAAGGCGGCUCAGGACUAUGGCUGCUGAGCUACUGCAGAAGGGUCUUCCUCAUCCCUGGAGUUUCGGUGUUACACAAGACGGCCGGAUCUUCUUCAUCAAUGAGGAUGCUCGCCUGACCUCGUGGCUGCACCCCGUCACCUGUGAACCUGUGCUCACCGGCCACCGACCCCUCCCAGAUCUUCCUAAGGGAUGGGAGCGCGGCGUAACCCCAGAAGGCAUCCCCUACUAUAUCGAGUGAGU